rnacentral:rRNA from 1 species
AGCAUAUCAAUAAGCGGAGGAAAAGAAACCAACCGGGAUUACCCUAGUAACGGCGAGUGAAGCGGUAAGAGCUCAAAUUUGAAAGCUGGCCCCUUCGGGGUCCGCAUUGUAAUUUGCAGAGGAUGCUUCGGGAGCGGUCCCCAUCUAAGUGCCCUGGAACGGGCCGUCAUAGAGGGUGAGAAUCCCGUAUGGGAUGGGGUGCCCGCGCCCGUGUGAAGCUCCUUCGACGAGUCGAGUUGUUUGGGAAUGCAGCUCUAAUUGGGUGGUAAAUUUCAUCUAAAGCUAAAUAUUGGCCGGAGACCGAUAGCGCACAAGUAGAGUGAUCGAAAGAUGAAAAGCACUUUGAAAAGAGAGUUAAACAGCACGUGAAAUUGUUGAAAGGGAAGCGCUUGCGAUCAGACUCGCUCGCGGGGUUCAGCCGGCCUUCGGGCCGGUGUACUUCCCCGCGGGCGGGCCAGCGUCGGUUUGGGCGGCCGGUCAAAGGCCCCUGGAAUGUAACGCCCUCUCGGGGCGUCUUAUAGCCCAGGGGUGCCAUGCGGCCUGCCCGGACCGAGGAACGCGCUUCGGCUCGGACGCUGGCAUAAUGGUCGUAAGCGACCCGUCUUGAAACACGGACCAAGGAGUCUAACAUCUACGCGAGUGUUCGGGUGUCAAACCCGUGCGCGCAGUGAAAGCGAACGGAGGUGGGAACCCCUCGGGGUGCACCAUCGACCGAUCCUGAUGUCUUCGGAUGGAUUUGAGUAAGAGCGUAGCUGUUGGGACCCGAAAGAUGGUGAACUAUGCCUGAAUAGGGCGAAGCCAGAGGAAACUCUGGUGGAGGCUCGCAGCGGUUCUGACGUGCAAAUCGAUCGUCAAAUUUGGGUAUAGGGGCGAAGACUAUCGACAUCUGGUAGCUGGUCUGCGA